AACUUGAAAGGGGGGUUGUGUAAUGUACCUUUUCCAAUCCCGGGCUGUAUAUGGAGAUUUGGGAUUCUUUAAACCGGCGCUACCUGGAUUUUAUUAAAAAGCGGGGAGCUCGGCGGGAGGAAAGCUGGCUUUUCCGGGGGCUGCGGGAGCCGGGCCGCGGGAGGGCGGAGGAGUUGGCGCGCCGAGCGCUCGGCCCGGGGAGCGGUUUUCUACCAAAAAAAGGAAAGGCGGGCAAAAAGUGUGAGGCGGCUGCGGGUGGCGGAGGGGAGCGGCGGCCGCGGGAUGGCAGGCAGCACGGGCGCCUAGCUGCGCCGGGAGCCGGGGCCGCCGCCGGAGUCGUUGUCGCCGGAGCCCGGAGCCGUGAACCCAGCCGCGCCAGACGCCGUGUGCGCCGCGUCGCGCAGCUCCGCCUGGCCGC
rnacentral:lncRNA from 1 species